rnacentral:rRNA from 1 species
AUGAAUCUAGCUUCGGCCCCGGGCCCGGAUGGCCUUCCGGUGAAAUUCUUCCAAACCUUCUAGUCUGCCAUCAAACUAGAGAUUAUGGUCUUGUUUCACGAGUUCUACGUAGGCUCCAUGGACCUUGGGCGUCUGAACUACGGGAUCAUUAUGCUUAUUCCCAAAGUUCCUGGCGCAUCGGACAUCCGCCAGUUUUGGCCAAUCACAGUCAAAAACGUGACUUUUCAGAUUUUUGCGGAGGGGUACGCCAAUAUGGUGACCCGGCUAGCGGACAUGAUAAUCCACCCCAACCAAUCGGCCUUUAUCCAAGCCCAAUUCAUUCUUGAUGUGGUGUUGUCUACCACGAGGUGCUUCAUGAAGUCCGCUCCAAGCACCAGUAGGCGGUCUUCCUGAAGGAAGAAUUCCAUAAGGCCUAUGACAUGGUCCUCUAGCCCUUCCUCCGGGAAGUUCUGCUGUGAAAGGGCUUCAACAAUCGCUGGGUCACUAGGGUCAUGCAGCUAG